rnacentral:rRNA from 1 species
GAUGAACGCUGGCGGCGUGCCUAAUACAUGCAAGUCGAGCGAACGGACGAGAAGCUUGCUUCUCUGAUGUUAGCGGCGGGCGGGUGAGUAACACGUGGAUAACCUACCUAUAAGACUGGGAUAACUUCGGGAAACCGGAGCUAAUACCGGAUGAUAUUUUGAACCGCAUGGUUCAAAAGUGAAAGACGGUCUUGCUGUCACUUAUAGAUGGAUCCGCGCUGCAUUAGCUAGUUGGUAAGGUAACGGCUUACCAAGGCAACGAUGCAUAGCCGACCUGAGAGGGUGAUCGGCCACACCGGAACUGAGACACGGUCCAGACUCCUACGGGAGGCAGCAGUAGGGAAUCUUCCGCAAUGGGCGAAAGCCUGACGGAGCAACGCCGCGUGAGUGAUGAAGGUCUUCGGAUCGUAAAACUCUGUUAUUAGGGAAGAACAUAUGUGUAAGUAACUGUGCACAUCUUGACGGUACCUAAUCAGAAAGCCACGGCUAACUACGUG